UACACCAGCUUACAUGGAUAGUCUAGGCAACACAUUAGUUAAUUUUUUUAGAAUCAUACCGGACGGAGUAUUGGUAUUUUUUCCCUCGUAUGUUGUCAUGGAAACCCUUUUCACCCACUGGAAGGAGCAUAGCAACAUAUUCAUGAGAAUGGAGCAACAUAAGCA